AUUGAACGCUGGCGGCAGGCCUAACACAUGCAAGUCGAGCGAGCGGCGGACGGGUGAGUAAUGUCUGGGAAACUGCCUGAUGGAGGGGGAUAACUCCUGGAAACGGUAGCUAAUACCGCAUACCCUCGGAUGUGCCCAGAUGGGAUUAGCUUGUGGGUGAGGUAACGGCUCACCUAGGCGACGAUCCCUAGCUGGUCUGAGAGGAUGACCAGCCACACUGGAACUGAGACACGGUCCAGAAUCCUACGGGAGGCAGCAGUGGGGAAUAUUGCACAAGGGGCGCAAGCCUGAUACAGCCAUGCCGCGUGUAUGAAGAGGGCCUUCGGGUUGUAAAGUAAUUUCAGCGGGGAGGCGUUACCCGCAGAAGAAGCACCGGCUAACUCCGUGCCAGCAGCCGCGGUAAUAC
rnacentral:rRNA from 1 species